UGAGUGCCCCCCUGCAGCCUCUUUUUCCCUGAAAGGAAUCCUUCCCCAAGGAUGUAUUUACCCUGGUGUUCCUUACUGCUCCUCCACAGGGGCUCUGGGGGCUGCAGGUGCUGUCCCUCUGCACUGCCCCUGCUUGAAGCUGCCUUCCUCUGCCUUGUCUGCUCCUCACCUCUGGAGCCCUGAGCACUGCUAAGGCCAUGCUGAUGGUCCCCCUGAUCCCAGGCGGAUGGGAACAUAAGGGCCUCAUUCAGCUUCAGCCAAUGUGGCAAGAUGUGACUUCUGGGCUAGGAUGGGCUCCCUAAUUAUUGAGUAAUGAGUCUAAGGUGUUUGAAUCCCAGUAACUGUUAGAGAUGGUUUUGUGUAGCCCUGAGCCACCCUCUUUACCAUCUUGCUGAAACAAGUGUGCAGCAUGCAGGUUCUGGAGAUAACUGGACAUUUUGGAAACCUCCAUUCUUCUGCAGAACUUGUAGUGUUUCCAUCUUUCCCUGCCCUUGCCUUACUCCUGUCUCUUUCCAUCUACUGUGACUGUUUUCUAUUUUUACUCUUGACAAAGGGUUGUGGGCUUAGAGGCUGCUCAUGUAGCUGUAGAUGUAAAAUGCCUGCUGUGUGGUGUUUGUCAUGAAAGAACCACCCCUGGAAAUUAAGUAAUCCACAGACCCAACUCAUUAACUCUGCAGCUGUGCUGUGGAGGAGCCUCUGUGUGGUUCCUGUGCCGAGGACACUGGGCUGGGGGAGAGGGGUGGAAGAGAGGUGGAGAGACCUCUGUCUGUGAUCCCAGCCCUUCUCCUAGCCCGUGCCAUGGUUAGCAAGUCAUUUCCCACCUCUGUCCCCCUUUCCUGUGCCCUUGAUCUCUUCUCCAGCUCAGCUGAUCAGGGCAGGAGCUGUUUCUCAUUGUGCCUUGCACAGGGAGGCCUUGACCUUGGUAGGGGCACUAAUCACUCCUGUUGUGGAAACAAUAAGUACUGGAGAGACAAAGAGUUAUGGAGGCAGAUAGCUCCAGAUGUCAGUCUGUUUCCGUGUGGAUGUCCUCCCUUUACUACCUCUGCCUCCAGGAGGACAGCAGCACGGCUUUGAGAAGUGCAGGUUGAUUCCUCUUCCAUCUCUUCUUUUCUCAGGCCCAAACCCAGUUCCACCUGGAGCCAGUAGCAAUAUUCCUGGCAGAAACACACUGGAAAUGGACCAGGUUUUUCCACCUUAUGCAGCACAGUUUAACAUCAGCCCACAUGUUUGGAGUACACUGGAAGCCAGAUGAGGACACAGAAGUUUUCCAGCUCAUUAUACCAGGGCCAGCAAUAUUCUUCAGUGUCAACAGGGGCUUGGCAGGCAAGGACAUUUUGACUGAUCAAACCCCAGGGAACAGAGCUGGCCACCAGCUGCAGGAGAGAAUCACUGAGAUCAAACCAAGGCUUUGGAGCGAAGGAGGGCAGCUCCAGCCCAGCUCCGCCUGCUGGUUACAACCACAGCCGGCACCACCUCACGGCAUGACACCACCGGGAAACAAUGCAGGGCCAGGGAACAGCCCCCUCCGGCUCAGGGCGCUCCGGGAUACCUCUGCUGCAGCCUCCCUCCUCUCACCGCACUCCUCGGAGCAUCCUCUGCCUCCAGCAGGACGGGCUGAACCCGGCCCGACCGGGCACUGUCACCCCAGAGAGCAACAGCACCUGAAAAUCACAGCAUCCGCUCUGAAAUACGGCUUAAAAACACACACAUGAUGACUUCAGGGCUCUUUUCUGCUAUUCUGGUGUCAGGGCCUUUCAUGAGCUACAAAAGUUACUUUUCCUCUUUUAGUGAAGGCUGAUCUUCUUGCAUAAUUGAAGACCAGGGACUUCAAGGAAAAUAACAGAUGGCUUGAAAAUUGGCAAUAAUGGGAUUCCUGAGAUUUUCUUGAGAAUAUUUUGUCUGAGGUCUGACCAGGAAUGAAACCUCUCUAGCAGGGAUAUUAGAUGGUCUGUAUUGACAAGGGGAAAUACUGAUGGGGUUGAGCAAAAGACUCUCCAGAGCACUGCAAAAUGAACCACUUCAGGACAUUUACUCCAAAAGACAGAGUGACAGGCAGCAAAUAAGAGCAGUCUACACAUCAUGAGACAGGAUAUGUGUGCAUAGACAACCACAGAAAGCCAUGCAAGUUCAGGGUAGCAGAGCAGACACAAAAGUGCAGCUUUUGGAACAGCCUGGGCAUUGAGAAGAAAAGUGCUGGGCAAGGCAGAGAAGCAUAGAUCAGAAGAGAUAUGGAUGGUUUCUGCACAGGUACAGGUGAACCACCCCUUCUUUUUCAGCAUUGUGAACUUCCAUGUGCCUGUUUCCUUGGACAUCUCGUCUUUCUCCAGCUGGGAAUUUGCUUGGGAUGAAAUCUCAAUAGUGCAUAUGCUUAUCCAGAAUUUCCACAUGCCCAUCAGGCCCUUCAGAUAGUUGGACUGCUGAACAUCCAGAAAUUCAGGAUAGGUUGACUGCACACUGGGGAGGUGAACUCUAUAGUAUUCAUACACUAUGUCUAAUGAAUCCAAAAAUUGUCAGACCUGCUGUGCAGAUGCUGUGAAGAUGAUCUGCAUAUGUACAGCCUGCCCAGCGUGCUCUGAAGGUGUCUGCUCUACCCUGUACUCACAGAACAUCUAUAUGGUGCAGGUGUAUGUAUUCCUACUUGGAAAAUGGGAUAAACAUGGGGUUUAUUUUAUACAUUCUUGGUGUAUUUGUAGAGGAGGGAACAGCUUCAGUGCAGGCAGGGAAACUCAGGUAUAUUCCCUGUAUAUGGGGGUCAGACUCUCCUAUCCCGUGCUGUUUGUUUUACAGAGCUGGGGUUGGGGUUAUUUAAGACAUUGUACAUGCACAUAGUGAAAAGGGGUAAUUUUUCCUGCUGCCCCCCAAACCUUCCAUCAUGAUCUAAACUUACAGAAGUGCAAGAAAGGGACAUCACAAUUCUUACUUGAGAGAUGAGCCAAAUAAAGAGAAGCUCCUAGUCUCCUAAAGCAGGACCCAGGUGGAGUUUAGACACCUGAGUGCAAAAUGUGAUCCUGCAAAUCCUUGUUUAACUCAUGUCAUGUGUUUGGGAUGCCCAGACCCCUCACACCCACCAGAUUUGACAAUGAGGCAGGAAUCAGCAUCCUGGCUGUUUGAGCUUUGGGCAGAGAGCAGGGGGAAGCCCAUGCUCUAGUCCACCCCUGGGUGACCAUUUCUAACUUUUUUCCUCAUGUCUCUUUAACCAGAAAUUCAUAAGUAGGAGCUGGGCAAAGGGACCCACGUUUUCCUUCAUACAUGGAGUGCCAUGAGAUCAAUGAGAUUAAACAUGUGCUUACAUGCCGGCCUGAAUUGCGGCCAUGAGAGCAAUGGGAAAGUAAACAGAAGGGAAACGUUAUGGAAAUGAAGGAAGAGGGAAAAUCCACCCUGCCAAGAGCAGCAGCUCUCAGCAGCUACAAGAAGAUAUGGCCUCACCCAGUGCUGAUUAGGCUUUAGGAAGUCCAGGGACUGGAAAAGAAGACCAAGUCAUCUUCAUCAAAGUUGAAAAGCAACUCAAAAGAGUGAGAUUUGGAGAAGUGGAGAAAGGCUAUGGGCUGGGCACAGCCAUUCCCAGAGAAGAUGAGCUUAGCUUAAGUUGUUUCACACCAUUAGCAGAAUGUGGAUCCCUGAAAAGAUCAGGCUUCAACCUGUGACAAUACAGGGAGGCUUUUUUCCCUUUAAAGGCUCCAAAACCUGGAGAUGAAUGUCAGGCUCUGCAGAAUCCUGUGCACCAGCUGGCACAGCUGCUGCCCUGUGUCCUAUUGCAGAGACUGGGAGAUGAAGCUGGACAUGAUGACUACUCUGUCCAUAACCUGGCUUUGCUUCCAACAGGCUGAGUGUGGCAGUCAUCCUUUCUGGAGGACCUGCAGAGCCAGCUCCCAGCACCUGCCAACGUGAGAGAGCUUGAGCAGCCUGUUUGGGGGGUUCACUGACACCGUGGCCAAAGCUUUGGUGUGACAGUGCCCUACCAACUCUCAAGUGCCUGACUGCAAGUGGUUGAUUUGGUUUUCCUGCAGGUCAGAUUCCAGACUCUGCAUUCUUCCACCUUUGUAUAUCCUUCACAUAGCCUGCAAACCUUUCACCCAGAUCUCUUGGAGCUAUCCUGCUCUUCCAGCUGGGAAAUUUGUAGGUGUGUCUCUGAUUUUCCAGCCUUCUCUCCUGGCUUUGGUCUUCCCCUUCUCCUUUCUCCUUAGUCAACCUUGGUUGUAGUCUUUCCUCACCACUUGACCUCUAUUUCUCUUUCCUGGGAAGAACCUCAUUUGCAUCUGUCCUAGUAUCCAAGCUACAAAUUAGACCUGGUUAAAAUUUCUUUCAGCAAAACUGCGACUUGAAUAAAACUUCUUUUGAGUUUUGGGGGAAUUAUAGGAGCUCUGUUUCUGGGAAGUGGAUUUUCUGUUGAGCACUUGAGUUCAAAAAUGUGCAUUCUCCCUUCUGUUACAGGUUCAGAAGACGACCUUGAGUAGGUCACUUCAUCUGCCCGAAUGUUUUAUCACUUGUUAAAUUUAGAUUAAAAUACUAGUCUGGGUUAGUAAAAUGUCUUUGAGAUCAUUGGACAACAAAAGCUAUUCAACUGGUGAUUAUUAUGAUUAUUAUA